rnacentral:lncRNA from 1 species
AAACAUAGAGAAGACAAAAGGAAUGAAUGGUGUGGUGAGAUAAAGGUGUGUGAACUUUCUUUGUAUGAAAUUCCAAAGGUGCAAUUAGCACUCUCCAUAUCUAUUUUGGGUUUUUCUUGCACAACUCCAUUGGCCCAACUAAGACAUCUUUUUUUGGAGUGCUUCAUCUUGUACCUCCAAAAAUUUCAUCCUACACCUUCAAUUUUCUAAAAUGUCCCUAAUUAGUAAAUGAUUUAAAAGUUUAAUUUUUUAUUAUUGAGAAAUUCUGUACAUAGCAUUGACUCCACCUCCAUUUUCCUCCAAUCACCUAAGAUGUAUUUCUGUUGCACCUCACAUCCCUUCACUCUUACACUCCUACACCCUUGCACCUCAUUUCAUCUUUGUAAAGAAAUUCUACACCCCG